rnacentral:snRNA from 1 species
GUUGGAUUGUUCACCCACCAAU